rnacentral:tRNA from 1 species
AAGAUCUUAGGUUAAUGUAAACUAUUAGUCUUCAAAACUUAUGAUAUGUCGAAAGCGUAGGUCUUG